GAUGAACGCUAGCGAUAGGCUUAACACAUGCCAGUCGAGGGGCAGCACAAGGUAGCUUGCUAUCUGGGUGGCGACCGGCGACCGGGUGCGUAACGCGUAUGCAACUUGCCCUAUACAGGGGGAUAACCCGUCGAAAGACGGACUAAUACUGCGUAUGCUCACAACUUGGCAUCAAGUGGUGAGGAAAGAAAUUCGGUAUAGGAUAGGCAUGCGUCCCAUUAGCUUGUUGGUGAGGUAACGGCUCACCAAGGCAACGAUGGGUAGGGGAACUGAGAGGUUUAUCCCCCACACUGGUACUGAGACACGGACCAGACUCCUACGGGAGGCAGCAGUGAGGAAUAUUGGUCAAUGGGCGCGAGCCUGAACCAGCCAAGUCGCGUGAAGGAUGACUGUCUUAUGGAUUGUAAACUUCUUUUAUACGGGAAUAACAAGAGUCACGUGUGACUCCCUGCAUGUACCGUAUGAAUAAGCAUCGGCUAACUCCGUG
rnacentral:rRNA from 1 species